rnacentral:rRNA from 1 species
UUCGCAGUCGGCGUAUUAAGUCAGUGGUGAAAUCCCUCGGCUCAACCGAGGAACUGCCAUUGAUACUGGUAUGCUAGAGUAUAGUUGGCGUAGGCGGAAUGUAUCAUGUAGCGGUGAAAUGCUUAGAUAUGAUACAGAACACCGAUCGCGAAGGCAGCUUACGAAACUAUAACUGACGCUCAGGAACGAAAGCGUGGGGAGCGAACAGGAUUAGAUACCCUGGUAGUCC